UGAUGAGGUAGAGGUUGCGAUCGUUAAGAGUAAUGCUCCGGAGGCUGGAAGAGCCUAAGAUGGGGCAAGAAAGGAACGACCGCCGAAGUCCGCGCUAUCGCUUCCGAUAGACGGGUUGGGGCUGUUGCCGAAAGGCGCAGCACUGUCAUGCAAGGAUUACCCGUCCUAUGCAUGAUGCGCUAUCUUUUUU
rnacentral:ncRNA from 2 species